rnacentral:lncRNA from 1 species
GGAGUUGAAGGAAAGAGGUUUUGACUCACUGUAGAUUGUGGGAUGAUGGAAAAGAUUGUUUUGAAUAUAUGUCAUCCCUGACUUUCUAAUCUCACACUUGAAUAAUCAUUCUCUUGGUUGGAAGUUGUCAAGGUGGUUGCACCUCAACUCAAGAAUCUCACUAUUAAAGGUUUCAGUGGGAAGGAAUUUCUGAUUCCUGCAUCUGUCCUUACCUCCUUGGUCAUAAAAGAUGUUGAUCCUUUGCAGCUAAUUCCCACACAAGGUUUCCCUUCUUUGGAGAAGGUGAUCUCUGUUUUAGGGUGAAUCUCCAUUAUACAGGUUUACACCAACAGGCUCGUAAAUUAGCUUUUCUGCUUAAUCAGCUCCACAAUGUCAAAUUCCUUACCCUUAACUUGGGGCUUCUUCAGGUAUUAGCUAGUUGUUAAUUUAUCAUACUAGGAUUGUUAAUCUCAACUAUGGAAAUAAUACACAUGAUUAAUCUUCUUUUCUUAUAUUUUAUGUAGAUUCUUUCUUCAUCCAUGGAACCGGUCUCACAUCAGCCUUCUCCGUUUGCUAACUUAAAUAUCUUAAACUUUUUAACUUGCCCUGCAAUGGUAUACAUGGAAUUGCAACCACACGAGAAUGUAGCUACAUCUACUGAAAUAAAAAAUAAUAUGCAAGAUAGUUUUUUAAGUGCCAUCAUCACAAUGAUCUCACGUGAGGUAUGUAUACAUACAACUAUACAUGUUAUAACAAUGCAAUGCUUGUUUAUGCAAUGGGGUUUCAUCUUUUUCCUAGUUUAUGUAGUAAAAAGGUUAAUUAAACAAAAUGUAAAACCAGACCUAAAUAUGCAACAUUGCAUAUAACCUGAUUGAGUUGAUGUUAAUGUUUGGAUUUUAUUUAUUAAAAUACUUGACAAUUUUUUUUUUUUAAUACAACUAUACAUGUUAUAACAAUGCAAUGCUUGUUUAUGCAAUGGGGUUUCAUCUUUUUCCUAGUUUAUGUAGUAAAAAGGUUAAUUAAACAAAAUGUAAAACCAGACCUAAAUAUGCA